GUUUUAAUAGUUUAAUAGAAAACAAUGAUUUUGUAAAUCAUAAAUAGGAAAUAUACCUUUAAAACU
rnacentral:tRNA from 1 species